rnacentral:rRNA from 1 species
AGAGUUUGAUCCUGGCUCAGGACGAACGCUGGCAGCGUGCUUAAUGAAUGCGAGUCGUGCGAGAACCGGACGAAGGAUUCCUUCGGGAUGAUUUGGUCCGGGGAGAGCGGCAAACAGGUGAGUAACACGUGGGUAACCUGCCCUUCAGACAGGGAUAACCCGCCGAAAGGCGGACUAAUACCUGAUGGUGAGAUACCGACACAAGUCGGCUUCUCUAAGGGCUCCGGCGCUGAAGGAUGGGCCCGCGGCUGAUUAGCUAGUUGGUGAGAUAACAGCUAACCAAGGCAACAAUCAGUAGCCGGUCUAAGAGGACGGUCGGCCACACUGGGACUGAGGCAUGGUCCAGACUCCUACGGGAGUUAGCAUCAGGGAAUCUUGCACAAUGGGCGAAAGCCUGAUGCAGUGACGCUGCGUGGGUGAUGAAGGCCUGCGGGUCGUAAAACCCUGUCGGGAGGGAAGAAAACUGCUUUGGCAGUCUGACAGUACCUCCUAAGAAAGCCCCGGCUAAUUACGUGCCAGCGGCCGCGGUAAAACGUAAGGGGCGAGCGUUGUCCGGAAUUACUGGGCGUAUAGAGCACGUAGGCGGCUGAGUAAGCGAUAGGUGAAAUCCCAUGGCUCAACCAUGGAAUGGCUUGUCGAACUGCUCAGCUCGAGCACGGGAGAGGGUAGUGGAAUUCCUGGUGUAGCGGUGGAAUGCGUAUAUAUCAGGAGGAACACCGGUGGCGAAGGCUGCUACCUGGAACGUUGCUGACGCUGAGGUGCGAAAGCUAGGGGAGCAAACAGGAUUAGAUACCCUGGUAGUCCUAGCUGUAAAUGAUGGACACUAGGUGUUGGGGGUUCGACCCCCUCAGUGCUGUUAAGCUACGCGUUAAGUGUCCCGCCUGGGGAGUACGGUCGCAAGGCUGAAACUCAAAGGAAUUGACGGGGGCCCGCACAAGCGGUGGAGCAUGUGGGUUAAUUGGAUGAUACGCCAAGAACCUUACCAGGGCUUGACAUGACUCUGACCGCCUGGGAAACCAGGCUUUCUGGGCAACCAGACGGAGCCACAGGUGGUGCAUGGUUGUCGUCAGCUCGUGUCGUGAGAUGUUGGGUUAAGUCCCGCAACGAGCGCAGCCCUCGCCGGAUGUUGCCAGCGGGUAAAGCCGGGGACUCUUCCGGGACUGCCUGAGCAAUCAGGAGGAAGGAGAGGACGACGUCAAAUCAGCAUGCCCCUUAUGCCCUGGGCUGCACACGUGCUACAAUGGCGAGUACAAAGGGCUGCUAAGCCGCGAGGUGGAGCCAAUCCCCCAAAACUCGCCUCAGUUCGGAUUGGAGUCUGCAACCCGACUCCAUGAAGCUGGAAUCGCUAGUAAUCGCGGAUCAGCAAUGCCGCGGUGAAUACGUUCCCGGGCCUUGUACACACCGCCUGUCAAGUCACGAAAGCUGGCAGCACUCGAAGUCCGCCUUUUGGCGGCCGAAGGUGAGGCCAGUGAUUGGGACUAAGUCAUAACAAGGUA